rnacentral:misc_RNA from 1 species
UUAGGGAAUACGCGCCUGCGCCGUAGGGAAAAUGAGGAAAGUGGAGAAGAGAAGGCAGACGACAAACGGAAGUCGAGAGAAAAAGAGCGAUGUUACCUUUCUCUUAAAACUUGGCUGGAAAAGUUUUGUAAUGAAGACAGAAUGAAAAAGAAAGAUGAAAGAAAUUUUCAUCAAAAUUUAUGUACCAAUAUAUCUUCAUAACAUGAUUCCUAGUUUCACUGCAACAUGCCUGUUAUUUGGAGAAGGAUAGUAGUGUUGCUGGUUGUAGUGAUUGCUAUUUUACAGGUGAUUCAUAUGACACUUUUAAGUCGUCUUGAAGCCAGAAAAAACAGUCAUCAUCAAAAAGAUACAGUUGGUCGAAUCUGGGAAAAUGUAGGAAAAGAAUAUCAUGAAGCUGAAAUGAAAGAAGACAGAGCUCAAAUGCUCAAGGCAAUUCAGCAGAGUAGUGUUUUAGAUUCUAGUGGAGAAUUUCGUAUAGUGAACUUUCUCCUUAGGGCAGAAUUAAUGGGAUUAAAACAUAGUUUACAACAUGAUGUCAGUUUGAUUACUCACUGUACAAUUAAUGAAUUAUAUCAGUUAGAUAAAUUGUCAUUAAGAUGGCAUGGACCUAUUUCUGUGUCAGUGUUUAGCAUUACACAAGAUAUUCCUUUAGCUGUAGAAGCAAUAUUACAUUUGAGACAAUGUUUUCCAUCUAUAAGGCAUAAUACCAGUUUUCAUCUUAUUUAUCCUCUGAACAACCCUACUACAGACAUUCAGUUACAACUUUCGUUUCCAGAAUCAUGUGAUCUUUUACAAGAAAGACUCCAAAACCAUGGAAUUGGAAAGAAUUAUGCCCAUAGUGUGCCAUAUCCUAAUAAUCUUUUACGUAAUGUUGCCAGAAGAAAUGCCUUAACUGAAUUUGUAUUUGUAAUCGAUAUAGAUCUUGUCCCUAGUGAUCAUUUGCAUGAAGAUUUUCUGACUUUUGCUAAAGAAAAUAGAUUGUUUUUUGAAUCAAAUAAGGACGAUAAAACAGUUUAUGUAGUGCCAGCGUAUGAAAUGAAAGACGAAACUGAAAUUCCAAAAGAUAAAACUAGUCUUUUGCAACUUAUUGAAUUGAUGGAGGCAAGACCAUUCUAUUUUGAGUUGUGCUGGAAAUGUCAGAAGUAUACUGAUUAUGAAGCCUGGCAGCGAGAACCUCUUACUGAAAAAUUAAGUGUUUUGUUUGAAGUUCUGUGGAGAGAUCCUUGGGAGCCUUUUUACAUUGGACGCAAUACUGUUCCUUAUUAUGACGAGCGAUUUCGUCAGUAUGGAUUUAACAGAAUAAGUCAAGUUUGUGAACUUCACGUGACGGGAUACAAGUUUUCUGUUCUGAACAACGCAUUCGUGGUACAUCGAGGUCUUAAAACACCUACUUCCUUCCACAAGGACAAGGAUUUGGAUCAAGAACGAAAUCGAAUCCUCUUUAGACAAUUCAAGACAGAAUUGAAAGAGAAAUAUCCCGAAUCGUCACGGAAAUGCUAUUGAUCAAGAUCGACCACCCUUUUUUUUUUUGUAUUUUUCUAUGUUUAAGAGGGAUAGCGACAAAUUUAUAGGCUUAAAGGAUCUGUAUAUUUACAAUGUUAAGUUUAAUUAACUUCUUUUUUUUUUUUUAAUAUAUAUAUAUAUAUAUAUACAAUAGGAAUCGUUCAGUUCUUUGUUCAGUCGACAGUGCUAAAGGAAGCGAAAUUUGCACGUGACUUUUCUUUGAAUCUCAAUUAUUUCGCGACUUACGAAUGUGAAGUUUGGAACGUUUUUGUAGCUGUUAUUGACAAGUGAUCGGAAAAUUUAAAAAAAAAAAAUCACUCGAAAUUUCACGAUCAUCGAUAACGUGGAGCCUCCGAAAGGGAUGAAAUUGGCAAACGAUGACUACGAAUACGUGAUGUAUUAAAUGUGAAAUAUCCGGAGGCAAAAUGACGCUU